GGCAGGCCUAAUACAUGCAAGUCGAACGAGAUUAAGAGGCUUGCUUCUUAUGAAAGUGGCGCACGGGUGCGUAACGCGUAUGCAACCUACCUUAAUCAGGGGGAUAGCCCGAAGAAAUUCGGAUUAAGACCGCAUAAAAACACAGGAUAGCAUUAUCCAAUGUUCAAAUAUUUAUAGGAUUAAGAUGGGCAUGCGUGUCAUUAGCUAGUUGGCGGGGUAACGGCCCACCAAGGCGACGAUGACUAGGGGAUCUGAGAGGAUGACCCCCCACACUGGUACUGAGACACGGACCAGACUCCUACGGGAGGCAGCAGUAAGGAAUAUUGGUCAAUGGAGGGAACUCUGAACCAGCCAUGCCGCGUGCAGGAAGACAGCCCUCUGGGUCGUAAACUGCUUUUAUUCGGGAAUAAACCUUUCUACGUGUAGGAAGCUGAAUGUACCGAAGGAAUAAGGAUCGGCUAACUCCGUGCCAGCAGCCGCGGUAAUACGGAGGAUCCAAGCGUUAUCCGGAUUUAUUGGGUUUAAAGGGUGCGUAGGCGGCUUAUUAAGUCAGGGGUGAAAGACGGUGGCUCAACCAUCGCAGUGCCCUUGAUACUGAUGAGCUCGAAUACACUAGAGGUAGGCGGAAUGUGACAAGUAGCGGUGAAAUGCAUAGAUAUGUCACAGAACACCGAUUGCGAAGGCAGCUUACUAUGGUGUUAUUGACGCUGAGGCACGAAAGCGUGGGGAUCAAACAGGAUUAGAUACCCUGGUAGUCCACGCCCUAAACGAUGAAUACUCGCUGUUAGCGAUAUACAGUUAGCGGCUAAGCGAAAGCGUUAAGUAUUCCACCUGGGGAGUACGCCCGCAAGGGUGAAACUCAAAGGAAUUGACGGGGGCCCGCACAAGCGGAGGAGCAUGUGGUUUAAUUCGAUGAUACGCGAGGAACCUUACCCGGGCUUGAAAGUUAGUGAAUGAUCUAGAGAUAGAUCAGUGAGCAAUCACACGAAACUAGGUGCUGCAUGGCUGUCGUCAGCUCGUGCCGUGAGGUGUUGGGUUAAGUCCCGCAACGAGCGCAACCCCUAUGUUUAGUUGCCAGCACGUUAAGGUGGGGACUCUAAGCAGACUGCCUGUGCAAACAGAGAGGAAGGAGGGGACGACGUCAAGUCAUCAUGGCCCUUACGUCCGGGGCUACACACGUGCUACAAUGGAUGGUACAGAGGGCAGCAAGCUGGCAACAGCAAGCGAAUCUCAAAAAGCCAUUCACAGUUCGGAUAGAGGUCUGCAACUCGACCUCUUGAAGUUGGAUUCGCUAGUAAUCGCGUAUCAGCAAUGACGCGGUGAAUACGUU
rnacentral:rRNA from 1 species